UACAUUUUAUAUGAGCUGUUUUAUUCUCCACUCAUUUAUUCAUAUGUGUUUUGCCAUUUUUGGGACAGCAUCUAAAUAUAGUUUGUCUAAAACAUCUUCAUGGAAAGUGGCAUGAAACAUUAAUCACACAGGAAAAAGUAUAACGCACAGGAACUCCUUUGAUUUAAACAAAUGUUCUGUCCAAUAAAGUACUCAUGAAAUAAGAAAAAAAUAUAUUAUAUGAUAUAAUAUAUUAGUGAUUUUUAAUACAAUACUUUUACAUAGACAUUGACAGUUUUACAAUCACUUGCUGCUGCUGUAGACCAGUGAUUUAGACCAUGUUCAUGUGGUUUAUACCAUUCUUGAAACUAGAGCAUUUGCAAAAACAGGAAACAGUGGUUGCUGUUAAACAGGUAGCAAAAAACUAGGCGAGGAAACUACAUAAACGGUUUUAAACAUUCAAAAAUACAUUUCUAGAUGUGGUAAACUGCUGUAGCACAACUAAUUAAACCCCAUCUCAAACAGGCCAGAACACCAGAUGUUUUGUUAAUGUGCCUCCAUUUGCUUGAUGGCUUAUUUUUAAGUCUCUAAUAACAGUCUUGACUGUUUAAAUGCUUAAUUGCAUGUUGCUUGUGAAUCCCUGCCAUUACAAUGACAAGGGGAAAAAUCUGUCAUUGUUGAGGAUACAGAAAUGUUAAACGGUCUUCACGUUUAAAAAAGAGACUGUCUUUGGAUGAAUAGUGGGAGGCCACAGCUGAGGCCAGAGCUGUAAUUAUGGUACAUGAUAAGGUCACUCUUGAAGACCAAGAAUGAUCGCAAGUGGCCUGUUUGAGAUGUGAGGCUUCGAUUAAGAAAAAAUACAGCUAAUGUUGUGGUUUAUUUACUCUUAAAAAAAUGAUCAUGACACAAACAGAGCAAGCAACAUGAAGAAGUCAAAAAAUAUACCCAAGACUAAACAUUACACAAGCAAACAAAAAAGAAAUUUCUAGGACAUCACUUAAAAUUUCCUUUGAAUGGGACCAAAAUGCCCCGCAACCUGCCUUCAUGCUAAUACUCACAGGAAGUCUUGCCUACACUCUAAAACGUCUUGAUGAUUCUCAUCAGUGCAUCUUAUUUUAGGUCCUAAAUCCUGAAUCUGAUGUUACCAUAAAUUGCAAAAGACGUGUAGGUUGUUUUCUUUAGAAAAAAUUUCUUCAUGUACACUUCCCCAUUUAGCCAUCAAACACUGGGUUAAGAAAAUUCCCCACAGAGCUGUGAUCACUAUUUUCCAAAAGACGUCCAUAAGAAGAGCGUCUGCAACAAACAAACAAAUCAUAAGGUCACUGACAAUUAGCAAUAAUCACGAAAAUUAACACUCUCUCUGUUAUACCCUAGUAUUUAACGUUAAGGUGUCACAAACUCAUUAUAAUUUUUACCCCAAAAUUAAAGACAAAUUUCAAAUAGUACUAUUAAUCACG
ensembl:lncRNA